GCAGUAAUAGAUCUAUGACCUGACUAGCCCCGGGUGGUUAGCUAGUUUCAAUACCAGGUAUGGCUUUUCUCCUAUUGAUCAGUCCUGAAGUCUGAUUGGAGAACUCUUGGUUCCCAUGAGGACAUGAGUCCCACUAUUGCACCCUGCAGAUUCUCACGCCCUGCUCAUCUUCGUGUGGUUCGUAGCAUCACAGCUGGGUGGGACCACUGGUUGCUUAUCGCUUGGAAGCUUGCAUAGCACCUAUCAGGGUUACGAAAUCUCGUCCUCAGAGAGGAGGCUUUCCAGGCAGAUCAGGCUGGGGUCCUCCAGAGCUGUGUCUGAAGCAGAUGGUGUCUCUAGUGACUUAUUUCCAACCUCUGAGAGGCAGCUGAAGGUUACAUCAGUGGCCUACAUUGUUUUUGGGGGAGGGGUCUCUGCCAACAGCUAGAAGAGGGGUUUCUUAUGCCUGAUAUCUGGACUUUUAAGAAGUUUCAUAGAUAUUUCUUAGCAGUUCGUGAAGAAGGUGCAUUUCCUCAGAAUAUUUUUUGUUAAGCCUCGCUCUGAUUUACAGUGGAAGAGGAAUAUUAAAGAACCACAGCUUUGCCUACAGCCAGUUACUGAAGGAUGUGUGUGGCUGCGCUAGCCUAAGAAGGGCAUAUUUGUAAACAUCAGAGCUUCUGUUUCCCACCAGCUCUGUUCAGAAGGUGAUUUCGGGAAGGCCGCAUCUGCCUCUUGAUUAGCAGUGACAUCUGCUGUCUUUGUUCUUGGUACUGUGUUGGAGACUACCUGGGAGGGCUGAGAGGGAAAGGGAUCAGUAGUCUUCUCCCACUUUCUGACCCCCUGCAUCCACAUGCUUUCUGUCCCUGGGCCAUACCUUGUCUCUAGUUCUGAUGUCAAGCCCAGACUCAUCACCCCUAUGGCUUCAGCUCCUUUGAUCCGAGAGCCUAACUCUGUUUGUUACCUUUGGACUUUGUCUCUGCAGUCACCAAGAAAUAGAUGCUCUUUAUCCUGGCUGAUGCUGACGACUCCAGGAUCAUCCUUUCUCCUCCUUUCCUCUUCCAGGACAUUGCACCCAUUCGUGGACUAAGAACGCUGAGUUGUGAUUUGUUUGCUUAAAAGUCGUUGUUGAGUGUUAGUCCACUGGUACUGUUCUCAGCUUCGGGGAACUAGCAAAGCAAGAUUUCCGCGGGUACCACAAGUCCCUUCGCUAAAGAGAGGCCACAUGACAGUUACAAAAUCAGCAUGCUUGAAACACAUAAGUCUUCACUUGCCUGGCUGCUGCAAUGCUAUCCGCACAGGCUGCCAUUCUGAGACUUCAACAUGAGACCUCAAUGAAACCGUUCUUCUGACUGCCCAGCUCCUUGUAAGAAUUCAACUGCUUGGGGAAGAGGUGGGCAAGGAUUCCUGGUUCACCUUUCAGCUUUUCCUGCAAUCAAUGACUCUGAAACAGCAGUUUUACUCCUUUCUGACUUAGACCAAUGACAGGUCAGUGGUCAGUCUCCAUUGUGGGUCCCUCUUCUUGACUGCUGGUGUGACCACGCCUGGGCACAGCAGGAGGAGGAGGCUGGGGUCCUGUCACAUGUUGCUGUCUCCUUUGUACUUGUGGCCCUGUAAGUGCUGUACCUGUAAAUUUUGUUUUUAAAGAAAUCUCAUUCUAGACUGGCAUCUUGGCUAUUAUCUUAGCAGAGGUUAAGGUGAACAGGAUCAAACUUCUCCUUAAAGACUGAGUUUUCCUGAAAAGGGGGGAUAUGAUAUAGGAAUGAUAGGGGGAAAAAGGUAGAUUAUUGAAUCCACUUUAAUCCAAAAAAGCUAUUAAUCUCAAAAUAUUUUAUACUGGUAUGGAUUUUAGUUUACUGAUACAAAUUUAAAGUUAUUUCUGCUAUAUUUUAUGUAUGUGUCUACUCUUGUUUGUGGUCUUGUGCUUAUGUAGCUCAUUUAAAAAUGGAAUGUAUAAUUAAGAAAUACAGAUUAAUAGUCAUCUAUAAUAGCCAAACUUAGUCAUGUUAGGUAGGUAUGUAACUAUAAUAGAUAUAUUUAGAGAGACAGAUGGACGGUCUUCAAAUACUUCAAAGACCUACACAAUAUAGCAUCUAAUAUGUUUAAUAAUCUAAAGGCUUUUCAUGACAGUGAGACACUGCUCCUGGCAGCACUGAUCUACUUCAGCAAAGAUGAUGGGCUUUGAAAAAACCUCCAUAUGGAGUUGUUUUCUUUAUGUAAAAAGCUAGCUAUGUGGGCAAAGAAACUGAUUUUGCCUCAAUUGCUGAUAGUUUCCUACUGUCCAAACUGGACCAGAAAGAGGAAAAGAAAAAAAAUCAACUGUCAAACUUUGUCAAGACAAGGUAUGACAGUCCUUCAAAAUUCUCCACUUCUCGCCAGGUGGUGGCGCACGCCUUUAAUCCCAGCACUCGGGAGGCAGAGGCAGGUGGAUCUCUGUGAGUUUGAGGCCAGUCUGGUCUACAAGAGCUAGUUCCAGGACAGGCUCCAAAGCCACAGAGAAACCCUGUCUUGAAAGAAAAAAAAAAGUCUGUCAGGUAUGUUAGGCCAAGAUGGAUGCCCCAACAUUACAGAGGAACCUUGGGUGACUGUCCAAGUAGCCAGUUGUCUGUCAUUUCUUAGUUUUGGAAGAGGUUUGCUCCAUACUUUUUACUCAGGUAGUAUUAUAUCCUUCUCAGGUCUCUGAUGGAAUUGAAGACUAGAUAGUUAUAGUUUUCCUUGCUACAAAAUCCAGAAAUUAAACUUGCAAAAGUGGUGUAACAUGUAAAAGAUUGAGAGACAUAAAAAAGAUAAAUUUGGGUUGCUAAUGCAAGUUAGGAUAGAAAGUGAAUUAGGUGCGAGACUUUGGACUCACCAAGACAGGAUAGCAAUGGAGGAUUAUCUCUGAAUUUGACAAAUACAAACGAACUAGACAUUGUUAAUGUAGUUUUUUACCUGUAUAUAUUUGUAUAUAGUUAUUGUACUUAUUAUAGUUUUACAAGGUUAGUUAAAACAUUUCCUUUUUAGACAAAGGGGAACAGGUUGUGUGAUAUUUUGAUUUCAUUCUGAAAUUAAAGCUUGCUUUGAGUCAGAGGGCAGAGCUAGCCACUAGCUGACCAAAAUUCACCAUAGAGUUUUGCAGGACUAUGGGUAGAUAGGAAAUAGUAAGAUGUUCUUUUUGGAGGAAGGAAUGGAAGAGGUAGGAGUUGACUGAUGGCCUCUUAGCAGUUUCUCUGAUUGUUCAGGUUCAGGUUCUUAUCCUAAUAUCUGACUCCUGAUUUUUUAUUAAUAAGUAGUCACAUGCUUCAUCCUUGUACACACACACACACACACACACCUUCCUGAGGAGACUGGGAAAGGGGAAGCUGGGUGAACAUCUAACAGAGUUUGCCUGCAGACACUGCUUACUAGGGUAGGAACACAAUCUUUCCUUUCCUUACCAUUCUCACAACAUUCCCAGCAGACACACCAUGUCUGUCUAUCACGACAGAAGGCCACCCUAACAGGAACUGAAGAGAUUUCUACUCCCAAACAUCACAAGAAUGGCAAUGCUAGUUCUACUUACCAGAGGGAGGAUCCACCCACAGAUAUCUACCCAGUAACUCUGUGCUGUGGUCACAGGAUGACUUAAGAACUGGAAACCACUCUUCAGGUAAAAUGAGGAGUUAGUUUCUGUCCUUGGAGCACAGGGUAGCUGCUUACUGCAUUUAAUCUCCAGCCCUCCACGGAAGCAAGCAGGUGCCAAAGAAAUGACUGCACCAGGUCAUCUUUCUAAGAUACCAAGAAAGCAAACCAACCUGUAAAUUCACAUCUGCCUUUGCUUCUCCCUAUCCUGACCUAUGAAAUAAGCCACUCAUAAACUUAACACAGGUCAAAUUCCAAUCUUCAUAGGACGUCUUCCUAGCAGCCAGGAGGGCCUGAGAACCUUAUCCACCCAGCACACCAAGAUGAAGUCUCUGAGAGGAUGCAGAAGCCAAGAUAACAACCUCUCCCCACAGGGAACUCAAAGAAAGACACUUGAAAAAGUGCAGUGUGGCGGUGUAUGAGGGGCUAUGUCUGAAUGCUAUUGCUCUGGAGGCUGAGGCAGGAGGAUUGCAUGUUUCACACUCUCCUUAAUUACACAGAACUCUAUUUCAAAAACCAGAAACAAAACGGCAGCUCAUGCCUCUACCACUUUGGCAGAAGUUUUCUGUUAUCUACUUUGUUGACAGGAAUUACUUGUUAUAGUUCUGAACCAUAGACUAAUUUUAAAAGUUCAGGUAAAGAAAAAAAUCUUGGGCAGCAGGAGAAAGAUUUAUCUCCCUUUUUUUCUUGUUUUUAUUGUGAUAUGUUUUUCUCCACUACUCUCCCUUCCUCCCCCUCCCCCUUCCUCCUGUGACUCCCACACUCCCAAUUUUCUCAGGAGAUCUUGGCUUUUUCGCCUUCCUAUUUAGAUCCAUAUACAUCUCUCUUAAGAGUCCUCUUUGUUGUCUAGGUUCUCUGGGGUUGUGGAUUGUAGGCUUUUUUUUUAUUUAUGUCUAGAAGCCAUUUAUAAGUGAGUAUAUAUUUGUCUUUCUGGCUCUGGGUUACCUCAAUGUUUUUUUCUAGAUCCAUCCAUUUGCCUGCAAAUUUCAAGAUGCCAUUAUCUUUUACUGCUAUGUAGUACUUCACUGUACAAAUGUACCAGAGGACUGAUCUCCAAAUACAUAAAGAACUCAAGAAACUUGACAGCAAAAGAACAAAUAAUACAAAAAAGGGGGUACACCUAAACAGAGUCUCUCAACAAAGAAAUCUCAAAAGGCUGAAAGACACUUAAGGAAAUGCUCAACAUCCUUAGCCAUCAGAGAAAUUCAAAUCAAAACAACUCUGAUAUUCCCUCUUACACCUGUAAGAAUGGCCAAGAUCAAAAACACUGACAACUUAUGCUGGAGAGGCUGUGGGGUAAGGGAAAUGCUCCUGCAUUGCUGGUGGGAGUAUAAACUUGUACAGCUGCUUUGGAAAUCAGUAUGGUGAUUCUGCAGAAAAUUAGAAAACAAUCUUCCUCAAGACCCAGCAAUACUGCUACUGAGUAUAUACCCAAAGGAUGCUCAAUUAUACCACAAGGACAUGUGCUCAACUAUGUUCACAGCAGCAUUGUUUGUCAUAGCCAGAAACUGGAAACAACCUAGAUGCCCCUCAACAGAAAAAUGGAUAAAGAAAAUGUGGUACAUUUACACAAUGGAGAUUCAUCCUUUUUUAUUUACACUGUGUUCUCAGCUUUUUAAAUAGUAAGAAGUCUCAUGAACGGUUUUAAAUAAUGGGGUGUGGGCAGGACAGAGAGCCUCCUGAUGGUCUCCUGUGGACAGUUGGUGAGGCAUUUCAGUCAGAGUUUUUAAAAACACACAUAAACACAACAAAAAUAGCAAGAACUUCUCCGUGCCUGGCUCAGUAUUUGGAUGGAAAGAUGUCUUAGGAUGGGCUGCUGACCUUAGCUGCCCAGAAUGAAGCCCAGGAAUAAUCAAAGUCUGGCAAUGGGACAGAAUCCAGGACCGCGUGUUCCCAGCCUCUCUCCCCCCCUCAGCCAACAUCCACAACAAGCAUGUCUAUCAGCAGUGUAGCCUGGGAACCUGCCCUGCUCAGGACGACACCCUGAACACCAACAAUCAGUCUCCACCACAACUGAGGUGCCAGGAGCUCCGGGAAGAAGCUGGUUCCUCUGGGGCACUGUGAGGUUCUGUUGGGCUCAUUUCUAGUGAAGCAACAAAGCUUUACAACGAAGAACAACUCUUAUAAAAACCAAUGCAUCUCUAGGCCUCACAGAAGACAGAGGUCCACAUCACCUGUUGACCCUGCCUUGGUCCCCACAGAAGACAGAGGCCCAACAUCACCUGCUGAUCCCACCUUGGUCCUCACAGAAGACAGAGGCCCACAUCACCUGUUGACCCUGCCUUGGUCCCCACAGAAGACAGAGCGUCCACAUCACCUGCUGAUCCCACCUUGGUCCUCACAGAAGACAGAGGUCCACAUCACCUGCUGAUCCCACCUUGGUCCUCACAGAAGACAGAGGCCCACAUCACCUGCUGACCCUGCCAAGGCUGGCAGUCUGGACUGCUGCUCUGAGGCCUGCUCUGCUACUUCUGGCCACUUCAGUGACAUUAUCCACCAAGUGGACAGGUCCAUUCCAUUCUAAGACCCCAGCUAAAAUCCAGAGUUAGCAGACAAUGCACAGUCACCGGGAACCAGUUCUGUGAGGUCCUUUCAGUAAACGGGAGCAAAGGCUUUCUGCCAGGUUCCCACCUGCACAACCGUAUUGACAACACCAACAAGCCUUAAACAGUGCUUCUCCCUUACCAACCUUUUAUUGUCGAAAUCAAUCAGAUUCACCAGAAGAUUGGGAGGGUUGUUAGAUUAACAAAUAAAAUACAAAGUGCACAGUGUA